rnacentral:lncRNA from 9 species
AAGUUUCUUCCUCAGCUUGGGGCCAGCCCAGACUGCAUGUGGUUUCCUCUCACUGUGUGUGCCUGCAUGUGUGUGUGUGUGUACAAAUGUGCAUGUGUGUUAGUUAUUUGCCUUUUACUGGCUCCGGGGUUUCUGUCCACCAGAGGAGCCCAGGGCUCUCUCUCAGACCUGCCCAACCUGCCGAGAAGUUCUGGGACCCAGCUGGAUGCCAGUGGACACCCCACCGGCUGCCCCAGAAUGCACUGAAAGUCAUUGAGAGGCACUGCUCCAACAGGACAAUUAUUUCUCGAGGAAGGGGAGAUUUGGCAUCCAGAUGCAGUUCUCCAAACCCAUCGCUGGCAACCCUCCACACCUCGCUGGGCCUCAGUUUCCCACUUCUUUUUGGAGACCACCAGGGUCUACGUCAUCCUACCUCACGGUUUCUUCCAGCGAUGGCAGCGUGUGAUUUGGAGUGGAACGUGGCAGAAGGCGGUGCCUGCAGACUGGUCCCCUGUGAGCCACCUCCCCUCUCCACCUUCAUCUUCCUCAUCUGUUAAGAGAGGGAGUUGGUUGCAUCCUUCAGCAAGGUCCUUUCAAGUUCGCACAGUCCGGGACUCCUUGAAAAUGCCAUUUACUAGAGUGGACUGGAACGAUGAUUUAAACCUUGUGGAAUUUGGCUGCCCUGCUCCGUUGCAAACUUGGUGAUGGUGUGAGGGUGAGGGAAAGAAGGAAUGGGGGUGUGGCUUGAGGGAAUCCUCUCGAAAUGGAGCAAGCUUUUGGCUCAAGCAGCCCUUCUUGGCUGCCGGUGGAGUUGAAAGAGGCAGCCCUAUCUCCUGGAAUUCUUUCCAGGUCAGUCAGUGCUUGGAAUUUCCCCGAACCCGAGUCUUUCCAAAAGCCCGAGGCUCUGGGUUAAAAACCAAGGGUGUAGAAACCAAGCAUGCACAAGGGUGGAUGCAGAGCCAAACUCCCUGUCUACUCCAUGCCAGGGAGGCUUCUAGAGAAGGUCCCGGGGUCAGGGGAGAGUGGGGGCCAUGGCCUCAGUAGGAGCGGCCCCUCUGGGCUUGGGAGCUGUGUUCAGCUUUUUCCUAUUACUCUAUUUAUCUGAGUUGCAGUUUCCUCAUUUGUCAAGUGGGAUGGAGACAAACCCCAAAUUAACCUGUGCUGUUUGUCACCUAAAGCGAAUAACACUGGUGAUCAGAAGCCAGACUCUUGGAGAAGAGAUGGAAGCCCCGCUGGCAGGUGUGCUGGGAGCCAGGUGAUUCCCCACAGGGCUCUCUUAUCAGAGAGGCCAUCCUGGGCAGCAGCCCUGAAGAAGGACCCACCCUCUGGGGGCUCACACACAUCUGCUCCCAACCCGUGGUCUCCUCACAGAAGUUUCAUCACCUCGGGACGCCUCAGGACACCUCAGGAACCAGAAUCCCUGCUCUGCAACUGGGCAGGGUGCUCCCAGCUCAGGGAGGACUCUGGUAGGACUUGGCACCAGAGCCCAGCUGUAGGUAGUCCUUGUUGUGAGAUGGCCAUCAGCAACAAUAGAAGGUUGAAGUGGAGGCACAAACCCAUCCGAGGUCACAGGCAGUGCUGUGGACCUGACCUGGAUGGGUCUGAGGACUGCCCUGGAGAGCAAAUGUGGGAUGGAGAAGUGAACGGAUGGGAUUAGCCCAGGGAGGGCUCAGGCCUGGGCAAUUUGCCUCUGAUCUGCCAGUCUCCACCUGGGUUUAGAAGGUGGCAUGGUGAUCUGUUUGGAUGGAUUUAGACUUUAUCUCAAGUUCCCUCCAUUUUGAAGCAUCUUCUCUCUCCCUGCAAGAAAAUAGCCAACUGAGGAUGUACCUGGGCCUGAGCUCCAGACUGCAGCACCAGAGUGGGCUCCAGGGCCCCUUUCCUGCACUCACCCCUCGUCCAUCAGCCCCUGCUCACACAGACACCCAUUCCUGGGUUAUCCCCUGCCCAAGCCACUGCAUCCAGCUGCUAGGGAUUCAGAGAUGAGAUGACACUCUUCUCUGAAGAUCUGCACGGCCAUGUGGCAGUACAGCAGCCCUGGCAUGGGAGGCCUAGGCAGGGAUGGGACUGCAGCGGCCCACGUUAGAACCACUUUCCAGGUGCAGGCUGGAGGACCAUGUCAGGCACCUGGAUGAGCCAGUCACAUGUAGGGCUGAGAGGAUGGGCUGGCUGGGAGAGGUGGCCCCGUUGGCAGGAUCUGGUCCCAGACCUGGAUUGCCCUAUGGAUAAAAGCCAUCUCCAGAGUCUACAGAGGCAGAGAGCAGUCAGUGAGCUGCCCAGGGCUUUCACCAGCCUUAUUUUAGAAAAUCCUCAGAACACCUAGCAAUGGAGGGGCUGCUCACAAUCCCCUGCUUUACUGGUGUGUGACCUGCCCAGAGUCCCAUGGCCCAAAGGUAUGGGGGGCUGGGAGUCACAAACACGGUGCUGCUGGUUCCAAAACCAAGGUCUUCCCAGGGUCCUAGAACUAUAAAUAAAGGGUCUAACCUGUGUGUGCCAUGCAGCUGAAAAUAGGAUACUUGUUCCUUUUUGACUGUGUUUUACUCCUUAUUGACAUCCUGAUGACUUCCAAAGAAUUUUUAACUUAUACCAUGCAGCUUACAUAUAUGAAAUCUGAGAGUAAGAGAACAUAAAAUCAUGGUCUUGCUGACAGUGAGCAGAGGCAAGGGAUAGGAAUUCAUAAAGGCCAAAGGUGAAUCACCACUGAGAGCCCCCAGGUGUCCAGCACAUGGAUGGUUCUACAGGAUGUGCAAAAUAAUUUGAUACCUGCUCAAAAUUAAUUAAUGCCUGGAUGAUCAUAGUUAAAAUAAGUGAGAUAGUUAACGAAGAGUCAAUAUUCAUUGAUUGUGUCAGGCAUUGUUCCGAACUUUUUUUUUUUAAAUAAAUGUUUAUUUUGGAGUAAUUUUAGGUUUAUGGAAAAGUUGCAAAGAGUACAGAGAGCUUCCCUACACCGAUUUCCCCAAGGUAAUUGUGAUACAUUUGUCACAACCAGGAGCCAAUAUCUACAGGUUAUUAUGACCUAAAUGACAGACUUAUUUGGAUUUCCCUAGUUUUCCCACUAAUGUCCUUCCCCAUUUCACAAUAAAAUCCAGGAUUCCAGACUGCAUUCAAAAGCUUUUUCCAGAGUUCCCAUCAUGGCUCAGUGGUUAACGAGUCCAACCAGGAACCAUGAGGUUGAGGGUUUGAUCCCUGGCCUUGCUCAGUGGGUUAAGGAUCCGGUGUUGCUUUGAGCUGUGGUGUAGGUCGCAGAUGCGGCUUGGAUCCCACAUUGCUGUGGCUCUGGUGUAGGCCAGUGGCUACAGCUCUGAUUAGACCCCUAGCCUGGGAACCUCCGUAUGCCACGGGUGUGCCCCUAAAAAAAUAAAUAAAAAUUGUCCUUCCUUUUUCCUCUCUGGCCCCCCCUCCGCCUCUCACCUUCUAACUCUCAGUCCUCACAGUUAAAUAGGAACCAAAGUGGGAAGAGGUGUUUUCUGAGUGCUUGAGGCCACACUGCUGGGAAGUGGCAUUGCUGAGCUGGGGUCCAGGCAGGUAGCCCUGCUGUUAGCCCCCAUGUUGCACGGACAGCACAGCGCAGGCUCUUUGCUGAGAUAGUGGGAACUGGAGGGGGAUGGUGAGGUGCAGUGAGGGGUGGGGACAGAGAGGGAAAGUUCUUUGGAAAGUGCUGCAGGGAGAAGCAAGAGCUCCAGGGUAUCCGCCUGGGCGAGAUUGGGAAGGUCAUUCACCCCACCCGUCUCUCUCACUACAUGUCCUUCCCCUGGCUGGGGAGACUUUUGAGGAGAAGAUCUAAGGCACAAAUAGUCCUACAGACCACCCCUACCCUUGGGAAGAAGGAGCCCUUUGAGGGGUGGCUUCUCCUUUUUCUUACUGCUUUUGUAUAAGUAAUACCUGCUGCUGGUGUUAAAAAAAAAAAUCAGUAAAGUCUCUAAAAUAUAUAUCCAUCAUCCAGAAGAAUGUUUUUCUAUGUUAUAUAUAUAUUUUUUAAACAGGAAUGCAAUCCUACUGGAUGGACUAUUACAUGUUUUUUCCACGCAAAAACAUAGCACAAACAUCUUUUUUACAUUAUACACUCAUGUGACAUUGAUUCUAACCCACAAUGACAUCAAUGAAUUCCCUUAUGAUGGACAAGUAGGUUCUUUCUAAUUUCAACAAGUAUUCCUGAAUUCACAUGUUUGCGUUCAUUCUUUAUUACCAUACUGUUGAGACCGACCCCCCAGAGUAGAACUGCUAUGUCCAGAGCAAGUGCCUGCUAAGAGGUUGCCUCACACAGCUGCCUUGUUCUCUCCUUGCUUGGGCCCUGGACCUCCCCACACAGAGGGUCAGCACCCCCUGCCCUUGUGCCCCCAGAGAAGUACCUCUCCUCUUUCUUCUUUGCUGAGGGCAUAUCAUUGUUUCAUUUUGGUUUCCUUGCUUUUCACCAAGAUUGAAAAUAUUUUCAUGUUAGAAAUCUAUACAUAGAACUUCCAUAUGACCCCGCAAUCCCACUCUUGGGCAUCUAUCCGGACAAAGCUCUACUUAAAAGAGACACAUGCACCCGCAUGUUCAUUGCAACACUAUUCACAAUAGCCAGGACAUGGAAACAACCCAAAUGUCCAUCGACAGAUGAUUGGAUUCGGAAGAGGUGGUAUAUAUACACAAUGGAAUACUACUCAGCCAUAAAAAGAAUGACAUCAUGCCAUUUGCAGCAACAUGGAUGGAACUAGAGAAUCUCAUCCUGAGUGAAAUGAGCCAGAAAGACAAAGACAAAUACCAUAUGAUAUCACUUAUAACUGGAAUCUAAUAUCCAGCACAAAUGAACAUCUCCUCAGAAGAGAAAAUCAUGGACUUGGAGAAGAGACUUGUGGUUGCCUGAUGGGAGGGGGAGGGAGUGGGAGGGAUCGGGAGCUUGGGCUUAUCAGACACAACCUAGAAUAGAUUUACAAGGAGAUCCCACUGAAUAGCAUUGAGAACUAUGUCUAGAUACUCAUGUUGCAACAGAAGAAAUGGUGGGGGAAAAACUGUAAUUGUAAUGUACACAUGUAAGGAUAACCUGACCCCCUUGCUGUACAGUGGGAAAAUAAAAUAAAAUAAAAAAAAAGAAAGAAAAUAUCUUCAUGUGUUCCCUGACCACGCUCUUUCUU